rnacentral:rRNA from 1 species
UACGUAGGUGACCAGCGUUGUCCGGAUUUACUGGGCGUAAAGAGCGCGCAGGCGGUCGUUCAAGUCGAGUGUGAAAGCCCCCGGCUCAACUGGGGAGGGUCACUCGAUACUGAUCGACUUGAAGGCAGGAGAGGGAAGCGGAAUUCCCGGUGUAGUGGUGAAAUGCGUAGAUAUCGGGAGGAACACCAGUGGCGAAGGCGGCUCACUGGCCCGGUACUGACGCUGAGGUGCGAAAGCGUGGGGAGCAAACAGG